rnacentral:rRNA from 1 species
ACUGCUAUCGGAUUGGUACUAAGCCAUGUGAGUCAUUGUAGCAAUACAAGGCAUACGGCUCAGUAACACGUAGUCAAUCUACCCUAUGGACGGGGAUAACUUCGGGAAACUGAGGAUAAACCCCGAUAGAUCAUAAUGCCUGGAAUGGUUUAUGGUCCAAACGAUUCGUCGCCGUAGGAUGGGACUGCGGCCUAUCAGCUUGUUGGUGAGGUAAUGGCCCACCAAGGCGAUUACAGGUACGGGCUCUGAGAGGAGAAGCCCGGAGAUGGGUACUGAGACACGGACCCAGGCCCUAUGGGGCGCAGCAGGCGAGAAACCUUUGCAAUGUGCGCAAGCACGACAAGGUUAAUCCGAGUGAUUCCUGCUAAAGGAAUCUUUUGUUAGUCGUAAAACCACUAGUGAAUAAGGGGUGGGCAAGUUCUGGUGUCAGCCGCCGCGGUAAAACCAGCACCUCAAGUGGUCAGGAGGAUUAUUGGGCCUAAAGCAUCCGUAGCCUGUUCUGUAAGUUUCCGGUUAAAUCCAUUAGCUCAACUAAUGGGCUGCCGGAAAUACUGUAGAACUAGGAAGUGGGAGAGGUAGACGGUACUCGGUAGGAAGGGGUAAAAUCCUUUGAUCUAUUGAUGACCACCAGUGGCGAAGGCGGUCUACCAGAACACGUUCGACGGUGAGGGAUGAAAGCUGGGGGAGCAAACCGGAUUAGAUACCCGGGUAGUCCCAGCUGUAAACGAUGCAGACUCGGUGAUGCCCUGGCUUGUGGCCAGUGCAGUGCCGCAGGGAAGCCGUUAAGUUUGCCGCCUGGGAAGUACGUACGCAAGUAUGAAACUUAAAGGAAUUGGCGGGGGAGCACCACAAGGGGUGAAG